ACUCAAAUGAAUUGACGGAAGACUGUAUAAGCGGUGGAGCAUGUUGUUUAAUUCGAUACACCGCGCAAAACCUUACCAACUUUAGUAUAGGGGAGACUUUAAAAUUUGUUUUUUAAACACAUUGGUAUUCUUUUAUUUUAAGUUUUACUAAUACUCCUUUCAAGUGCUGCAUGGCUAUCGUCAGCUCGUGUUGUAAAAUGUUAGGUUAAUUCCUUUAACGAGCGCAACCCUUAUUUUUAAUUGCUAAUAUAUUUAUUUAUAUGCACUUUAAAAAGACCGCUAUUAAAUAUUUAGAGGAAGGUGGGGAUGACGUUAAGUCUUUAUGGCCUUUAUAGGUUGGGCUACAAACGUGCUACAAUGGUAACUACAAUAAGAAGCGAUAAUAUGAAUUGAAGCAAAUCUUAAAAAGUUAUCUAAGUUCAGAUUGUUCUCUGCAACUCGGGAACAUGAAGUAGGAAUCGCUAGUAAUCGCAAAUCAGCUCGUUGCGGUGAAAUAAUUUCCAGUCUUAGCACACACCGCCCGU
rnacentral:rRNA from 1 species